UCGAGGGGCAGCAUGAACUUAGCUUGCUAAGUUUGAUGGCGACCGGCGCACGGGUGAGUAACACGUAUCCAACCUGCCGAUGACUCGGGGAUAGCCUUUCGAAAGAAAGAUUAAUACCCGAUGGCAUAGUUCUUCCGCAUGGUCUUAUUAUUAAAGAAUUUCGGUUAUCGAUGGGGAUGCGUUCCAUUAGGCAGUUGGUGAGGUAACGGCUCACCAAACCUUCGAUGGAUAGGGGUUCUGAGAGGAAGGUCCCCACAUUGGAACUGAGACACGGACCAAACUCC
rnacentral:rRNA from 1 species